GAUGAACGCUGGCGGCGUGCCUAAUACAUGCAAGUCGAGCGAACGGACGAGAAGCUUGCUUCUCUGAUGUUAGCGGCGGACGGGUGAGUAACACGUGGAUAACCUACCUAUAAGACUGGGAUAACUUCGGGAAACCGUAGCUAAUACCGGAUAAUAUUUUGAACCGCAUGGUUCAAUAGUGAAAGACGGUUUUGCUGUCACUUAUAGAUGGAUCCGCGCUGCAUUAGCUAGUUGGUAAGGUAACGGCUUACCAAGGCAACGAUGCAUAGCCGACCUGAGAGGGUGACCGGCCACACUGGAACUGAGACACGGUCCAGACUCCUACGGGAGGCAGCAGUAGGGAAUCUUCCGCAAUGGGCGAAAGCCUGACGGAGCAACGCCGCGUGAGUGAUGAAGGUCUUCGGAUCGUAAAACUCUGUUAUUAGGGAAGAACAUAUGUGUAAGUAACUGUGCACAUCUUGACGGUACCUAAUCAGAAAGCCACGGCUAACUACGUG
rnacentral:rRNA from 1 species